AUGGAGGACACAGGGGAUGGGGAUGGAGACAUCACGGCCAUGUCACACGGCCAUGAGAGAUAAAGAGCCUGGAGAAGGACAGGGACACUGUGGCAGUGUCACACUGUGCCCUGUCACACACUGUGCCAUGUCACACAGGGAUGUCGUUCCUGAGGGGACAGGGUGGUUCCUGUCCCCUGUCACUGUGUGUGACAGGUCACCAGGGGCACAGUGGCAUUCCUUGUCCCUCACUGUCCUGUGGGAUGACGUCACCAUCGAGGAGACAAGAGCCUGGAGACCCCGAGUGACAGGUGACACCCCCGUGGCCUUGGCUGGUGUCACCGUGUCACCUCCAGCCGGCUCUGGUCACCCCUGGGGACACCAGAGCUGCUCUGUGUCCCUCAGCCCUUGGGGACACUCGUGUCACCAUAAACUGCCUUUGUCCCUGCA